rnacentral:tRNA from 1 species
GGGCCUAUAGCUCAGUUGGUUAGAGCAGAGGACUCAUAAUCCUUUGGUCCACGGUUCAAGUCCGUGUGGGCCCAUCA